UCCCUCUUAGCUCAGUGGUAGAGCGCGUCACUAGUAUGCUGUAGGUGUCUAUGACGAGGUCAGUCGUUCAAGUCGGCUAGAGGGAA